rnacentral:lncRNA from 1 species
GAACAAAAGGACAUUUUCUAAAGAUGAAACAAGAAAUUAAAACUAGAGUUUGAGUUUGGGACCCAGAGAGUAUCACUAAACAAGUAAACCAAAACUAUCAACUACCUGUUUCAGGACUUUUUGUGAGGAGAGAAAAAUUCAUCCCAAUUUGUUUCAGCCACUACAGCAGGACACACUGUUACGUUCAGGCGAUUGAAGUUGCAACUAAUAAAAACAGUUGAGACAAAAACAGGAACCCAGAGACCAGAAUCAGGAGGGAUACGGAGCCUAAGAUAAGAGAAGGGAAUUAUGUAAGCAAAGCGCGGUGGCCGAGUCCUGCGUGUUUCUUUCUGACUGCAGCUGAUGUCUGGCAGAGAAAAACACCCUUCUGCCCUCAUCCUCUCCUCGUUCCUUUCUGAAGAGGCCUUGAGCUCCUACAGCAGCAGCUGAGCAGGUUAAGUCGGUUCCCCUGUGGUGAAGUGCAACCUUCAGGGAUCUGUAAAGGACAAAAGAAGGAAAAAUGGAGCCUUGGAUAUUUUCCAACAUUCCUGUUUUUUCUUAGCUGUUCCCUUAUCCUUCAAGAGCUGGGACACUUGUCCAAGGAUGUGCCCUGUGAGCCAGGCAGGCUGUGACAACGCACAAAGCAGUCAGAAGCUCUCAGAGGUCGGCACUCAUGCCAUCUGCGGAGGAGUCAAUACAUUAAGAAGGAUUAAUCCAUCAGAUUUGUCUGAAAGGACCUUUUGAAUUUGAGGAUUGUGGAGAAGGCAUUGUAGGUCAAUUCUGUAUCAUUUCAUGCAAAGACUAUUACAAAGAACUCAUCUCCCUGCUUUGCUGUCUCUUCACUCCAUCCCUACCUGAAAAAUACCACUUACUCCAUUCCACUGCAAGUAUGUACCCUGGAGGAGGUGCUGUUCUGAGUGAUGGGCAUGCUGCAAUGAAUAAUAAAGAAAGCAGGACCUCUAUUCUCCUCA